GCCAGUGUGGUAUAGUGGUUUGAGCAUUGGACUAGGACUCUGGGAAACCAGGGUACAAAUCCCUGCUCAGCCA